GUGCGAUUGACGCUGAGGCUCGAAAGUGCGGGUAUCGAACAGGAUUAGAUACCCUGGUAGUCCGCACAGUAAACGAUGGAUGCUCGUUAUGGGCGACAGAAUGUCCGUGACCUAGGGAAACCAUUAAGCAUCCCACCUGGGGAGUACGCCGGCAACGGUGAAACUCAAAGGAAUUGACGGGGGCCCGCACAAGCGGAGGAACAUGUGGUUUAAUUCGAUGAUACGCGAGGAACCUUACCCGGGCUUGAACUGCACAGGAGUGCAUCGGAGACGUUACAGCCCUUCGGGGCCUGUGCGGAGGUGCUGCAUGGUUGUCGUCAGCUCGUGCCGUGAGGUGUCGGCUUAAGUGCCAUAACGAGCGCAACCCUUGCCGCCGGUUGCCAUCACGCAGUGGUGGGCACUCCGGCGGGACUGCCAUCGCAAGAUGUGAGGAAGGUGGGGAUGACGUCAAAUCAGCACGGCCCUUACGUCCGGGGCUACACACGUGUUACAAUGGGGGGCACAGCGAGCUGCUGCCUGGCGACAGGUGGCGAAUCUUGAAAUCCCCUCUCAGUUCGGACCGGAGUCUGCAACCCGACUCCGCGAAGCUGGAUUCGCUAG
rnacentral:rRNA from 1 species